GACGAACGCUGGCGGCGUGCCUAAUACAUGCAAGUAGAACGCACAGUUUAUACCGUAGCUUGCUACACCAUAAACUGUGAGUUGCGAACGGGUGAGUAACGCGUAGGUAACCUGCCUGGUAGCGGGGGAUAACUAUUGGAAACGAUAGCUAAUACCGCAUAAUAUUGAUUAUUGCAUGAUAAUUGAUUGAAAGAUGCUAUUGCUUCACUACCAGAUGGACCUGCGUUGUAUUAGCUAGUAGGUGAGGUAACGGCUCACCUAGGCGACGAUACAUAGCCGACCUGAGAGGGUGAUCGGCCACACUGGGACUGAGACACGGCCCAGACUCCUACGGGAGGCAGCAGUAGGGAAUCUUCGGCAAUGGACGAAAGUCUGACCGAGCAACGCCGCGUGAGUGAAGAAGGUUUUCGGAUCGUAAAGCUCUGUUGUAAGAGAAGAACGGGUGUGAGAGUGGAAAGUUCACACUGUGACGGUAUCUUACCAGAAAGGGACGGCUAACUACGUG
rnacentral:rRNA from 1 species